AGUGGCGGACGGGUGAGUAACGCGUGGGCAACCUGGCCUGUACAGGGGGAUAACACUUAGAAAUAGGUGCUAAUACCGCAUAACGGGAGAAGCCGCAUGGCUUUUUCCUGAAAACUCCGGUGGUACAGGAUGGGCCCGCGUCUGAUUAGCUAGUUGGUGAGAUAACAGCCCACCAAGGCGACGAUCAGUAGCCGACCUGAGAGGGUGACCGGCCACAUUGGGACUGAGACACGGCCCAAACUCCUACGGGAGGCAGCAG
rnacentral:rRNA from 1 species